CAUUUCCUUUGGCUGAGCACAGGCACAAGCAAAGCACACACCACACACUAAGCAGUCAGGUAAGCUGUUUGACACUACACCUUACAUUGCUACAUUCAGGUAUUCUUACAGACGGUGAAAAAUUACAUUAUUUGUUUUUAUUCCACAUAAGCAAACAAACAAAACUUAAUUAUUUAUUCUCCUUUUACCUGUGCCCACUACUGCCCCCA